rnacentral:rRNA from 1 species
GAUGAACGCUGGCGGCGUGCCUAAUACAUGCCAGUCGAGCGAACAGACGAGGAGCUUGCUCCUCUGACGUUAGCGGCGGACGGGUGAGUAACACGUGGAUAACCUACCUAUAAGACUGGGAUAACUUCGGGAAACCGGAGCUAAUACCGGAUAAUAUAUUGAACCGCAUGGUUCAAUAGUGAAAGACGGUUUUGCUGUCACUUAUAUAUGGAUCCGCGCCGCAUUAGCUAGUUGGUAAGGUAACGGCUUACCAAGGCAACGAUGCGUAGCCGACCUGAGAGGGUGAUCGGCCACACUGGAACUGAGACACGGUCCAGACUCCUACGGGAGGCAGCAGUAGGGAAUCUUCCGCAAUGGGCGAAAGCCUGACGGAGCAACGCCGCGUGAGUGAUGAAGGUCUUCGGAUCGUAAAACUCUGUUAUUAGGGAAGAACAAAUGUGUAAGUAACUAUGCACGUCUUGACGGUACCUAAACAGAAAGCCACGGCUAACUACGUG